rnacentral:rRNA from 1 species
AACGAACGCUGGCGGCAGGCUUAACACAUGCAAGUCGAACGGACUGCAAUGUAGCUUGCUAUGUUGUUGUUAGUGGCAGACGGGUGAGUAAUGCGUAGGAAUCUACCUAAUAGUAUGGGAUAGCUGUUAGAAAUGACAGGUAAUACCGUAUAUUCCCUAAGGGGGAAAGAUUUAUCGCUAUUAGAUGAGCCUGCGUUAGAUUAGCUAGUUGGUAGGGUAUGGCCUACCAAGGCUACGAUCUAUAGCUGGUCUGAGAGGAUGAUCAGCCACACUGGAACUGAGAUACGGUCCAGACUCCUACGGGAGGCAG